rnacentral:rRNA from 1 species
GAUGAACGCUGGCGGCGUGCCUAAUACAUGCAAGUCGAGCGAACAGACGAGGAGCUUGCUCCUCUGACGUUAGCGGCGGACGGGUGAGUAACACGUGGAUAACCUACCUAUAAGACUGGGAUAACUUCGGGAAACCGGAGCUAAUACCGGAUAAUAUAUUGAACCGCAUGGUUCAAUAGUGAAAGACGGUUUUGCUGUCACUUAUAGAUGGAUCCGCGCCGCAUUAGCUAGUUGGUAAGGUAACGGCUUACCAAGGCAACGAUGCGUAGCCGACCUGAGAGGGUGAUCGGCCACACUGGAACUGAGACACGGUCCAGACUCCUACGGGAGGCAGCAGUAGGGAAUCUUCCGCAAUGGGCGAAAGCCUGACGGAGCAACGCCGCGUGAGUGACGAAGGUCUGCGGAUCGUAAAACUCUGUUAUUAGGGAAGAACAAAUGUGUAAGUAACUAUGCACGUCUUGACGGUACCUAAUCAGAAAGCCACGGCUAACUACGU